ACCCAGACGAUGAGUCCCAAUCAGGACGAAAUGCGCAUCCUGGAU
rnacentral:hammerhead_ribozyme from 1 species